rnacentral:rRNA from 1 species
CUCCUUGGGUGGCGAGUGGCGGACGGGUGAGGAAUACAUCGGAAUCUGCCUAUUUGUGGGGGAUAACGUAGGGAAACUUACGCUAAUACCGCAUACGACCUACGGGUGAAAGCGGAGGACCUUCGGGCUUCGCGCAGAUAGAUGAGCCGAUGUCGGAUUAGCUAGUUGGCGGGGUAAAGGCCCACCAAGGCGACGAUCCGUAGCUGGUCUGAGAGGAUGAUCAGCCACACUGGAACUGAGACACGGUCCAGACUCCUACGGGAGGCAGCAGUGGGGAAUAUUGGACAAUGGGCGCAAGCCUGAUCCAGCCAUGCCGCGUGGGUGAAGAAGGCCUUCGGGUUGUAAAGCCCUUUUGUUGGGAAAGAAAAGCAGUCGGUUAAUACCCGAUUGUUCUGACGGUACCCAAAGAAUAAGCACCGGCUAACUUCGUGCCAGCAGCCGCGGUAAUACGAAGGGUGCAAGCGUUACUCGGAAUUACUGGGCGUAAAGCGUGCGUAGGU